rnacentral:rRNA from 1 species
AAGUCGUAACAAGGUCUCCGUAGGUGAACCUGCGGAGGGAUCAUUACCGAGUUCCGAAGGACACGCGGUGGUCUAAAUAUGCCACUUCGUGCCCCGGCCUCCAACCCUUUGUGAACACAACUUGUUGCUUCGGGGGCGACCCUGCCGUUCGCGGCGAGCGCCCCCGGAGGCCUUCCAACACUGCAUCUCUGCGUCGGAGUUUAAGUAAAUUAAACAAAACUUUCAACAACGGAUCUCUUGGUUCUGGCAUCGAUGAAGAACGCAGCGAAAUGCGAUAAGUAAUGUGAAUUGCAGAAUUCAGUGAAUCAUCGAAUCUUUGAACGCACAUUGCGCCCUCUGGUAUUCCGGAGGGCAUGCCUGUUCGAGCGUCAUUUCACCACUCAAGCCUGGCUUGGUAUUGGGCGCCGCGGUGUUCCGCGCGCCUUAAAGUCUCCGGCUGGGCUGUCCGUCUCUAAGCGUUGUGAUUUCAUUAAUCGCUUUGGAGCGCGGGCGGCCGCGGCCGUUAAAUCUUUCACAAGGUUGACCUCGGAUCAGGUAGGGAUACCCGCUGAACUUAAGCAUAUCAAUAAGCGGAGGAAAAGAAACCAACAGGGAUUGCCCUAGUAACGGCGAGUGAAGCGGCAACAGCUCAAAUUUGAAAUCUGGCGCAAGCCCGAGUUGUAAUUUGUAGAGGAUGCUUCUGGGUAGCGACCGGUCUAAGUUCCUUGGAACAGGACGUCAGAGAGGGUGAGAAUCCCGUAUGUGACCGGCCCGCGCCCUCUACGUAGCUCCUUCGACGAGUCGAGUUGUUUGGGAAUGCAGCUCUAAAUGGGAGGUAAAUUUCUUCUAAAGCUAAAUACCGGCCAGAGACCGAUAGCGCACAAGUAGAGUGAUCGAAAGAUGAAAAGUACUUUGGAAAGAGAGUUAAAAAGCACGUGAAAUUGUUGAAAGGGAAGCGCCUGCAAUCAGACUUCGCGGCAGUGUUCCGCCGGCCUUCUGGCCGGUUCAUUCUCUGUCGCGAGGCCAUCAUCGUCUCGGCCCGCUGGAUAAGACCUUGGGAAUGUAGCUCACCUUCGGGGGAGUGUUAUAGCUUACGGUGAUGCAGCGAGGCUGGGGCGAGGUCCGCGCUUCGGCAAGGAUGAUGGCGUAAUGGUUGUCGGCGGCC